GAAUUAGGAACAGAGCAGACAUAGCCUAGGUUGUGGUUUAUAAUUAAAUUUGUCUUUUUAGUAAAGAAUGUUUCAAUUUUGGGAACAGAAUUUGGAUAUUCAGAAAGAAGAGGUCUGGAAGGUUCAUAGGAUACUUGGAGACCUGGCAAUUAGGAAAGUUCAUCCAUAGCUGAAGAAUUUGAAGAAGUUAGACUUGAAAAAAGACAAUCAUUAGUCUGUGGAUGUUUGUCUUCAAAAAGUGCAGCAAGAGUUGAGAAAGAGGAAUGUGAAGGAGAAAAGAAGGAAGAUCUUUGUGAACCCCGAUACAAAUUUUGGUACAAAGAGGGACCAUACAGAAUUACAAGGAUGAGUUUUGUUAAUGGCUUUAUCCAUCCCUGGAGUUGGCUGUCUAAUUGAUGAGACCUACAGCUGCUUGGUCCCUCCUCUG
rnacentral:lncRNA from 1 species